rnacentral:rRNA from 1 species
GAGUUUGAUCUUGGCUCAGGACGAACGCUGGCGGCAGGCCUAACACAUGCAAGUCGAACGGUAACAGAAAGCAGCUUGCUGCUUUGCUGACGAGUGGCGGACGGGUGAGUAAUGUCUGGGAAACUGCCUGAUGGAGGGGGAUAACUACUGGAAACGGUAGCUAAUACCGCAUAACGUCGCAAGACCAAAGAGGGGGACCUUCGGGCCUCUUGCCAUCGGAUGUGCCCAGAUGGGAUUAGCUUGGUUGGGGGUAACGCUCACCAAGGCGACGAUCCCUAGCUGGUCUGAGA